rnacentral:rRNA from 1 species
CCUACGGGAGGCAGCAGUGAGGAAUAUUGGUCAAUGGUCGGGAGACUGAACCAGCCAAGCCGCGUGAGGGAUGAAGGUACAGAGUAUCGUAAACCUCUUUUGUCAGGGAACAAAGGCGGGGACGUGUCCCCGGAUGAGUGUACCUGAAGAAAAAGCAUCGGCUAACUCCGUGCCAGCAGCCGCGGUAAUACGGGGGAUGCGAGCGUUAUCCGGAUUUAUUGGGUUUAAAGGGUGCGCAGGCGGUCUGUUCAGUCGGCGGUCAAAGCCCGGGGCUCAACCCCGGCCCGCCGUUGAAACUGGCAGUCGCGAGUUGGAGAGAAGGAUGCGGAAUGCGCGGUGUAGCGGUGAAAUGCAUAGAUAUCGCGCAGAACUCCGAUUGCGAAGGCAGCAUGCCGGCUCCACACUGACGCUGAGGCACGAAAGCGUGGGUAUCGAACAGGAUUAGAUACCCGAGUAGUC